CAUCUUACCUGGCAGUGCUUGA
rnacentral:miRNA from 1 species